UAAAAACAUUACUUAAUUUUUGUACACUUUUCUUUGAAAAGUGUUCUUCGGAGUUGUCUGUGAUUUCUUUUUUUUUUUGAUAUUUUUAUCAUAUUGUGAGAGAGAUGGAGGACUUCGAGUUCCAUCACUGGUGGAGCCUACGGUUAAAGUUUAGUUCAUUAUUUCACUUCCUCUGUUUCAGAUCUUUGGUUUUGUAACUGGUGAAAGCUCUUGAUCUGGUGUUUAAUUAGGUUGUUGGAGAUUUAAAAGGAGGAGAUGACGCUUUACAGGAGAGGAUUUGUCAUCUGUUUUUUCAGGGACCAACGGAAAAUGGGCAAAUUGAUGUUCACUUUCAGGAUCUGUAUAGCGCAAGAACAACGUUCGAGCAGGCCCGACUUCAUUUGGUCAUCACUUUUUCUUAUGCUAUGAGAAUUUCCAAGAUAUUUCCUUUGCUUCAAUCUGCGAGUCAACACCAUCACAUGUAGCGCAACAUGAGUCAUCCUUGGUAUCGUCCCGUUAUCUAGAUCCUGAAUAGAAACUAAAUGAGGAUCAUGGUGUGUAUUGCCUCUCUCUCUCUCUCAAAUACUUGAAACAGAAAUCUUUAGCUCAUUCAAGUCGAAGGCUUUAUCUAGAGUUCCCUAAAUGAGCUUUUGCUACAAUAUAUGUACAUGUUUUGUUUUCUUACAGGUUAUAUCGUUUUUGUUAACGGCUUAUGCUCAAACAUCCAUGCGGCAGAUUUUCCUCUUCCAUGUUAUUCUCAUAAGAAAGAUGAAAUCUUCGAUUUCUAUUCGUCUGAAAGCCCAAAACAAACGUUGAUCUCGAAGUUUAUGUGCAGCAGAUGAGAAUCAGCAGGGACUAUCCAUAAAGAUAUAAGGAGAUGGGCAUUCAACUUCUUCCACGCUGAUCAACAAGAAACCAGGUUUCUAUGGAAGCAUAAACCCACGGAAACUGAUCACUUUAAGCUGAUAUGGAUGAAUGCAGACCUCUGUGUAAGAGGACAUAGCGUUUGAUGCGUUGUGUUAUCAGAUCUGGUUGAAGAUUUAGAGGAUGGGGAUCGUACUUCUCAGCCAAAGGACAAAGUUGUGACAUGGAACCUUCCAUUUCGAAGUGAUACCUCAUAUUUGGUCCAGUCUACAACAUAAGAGAAGUACGGAGUUAGGUACUCGAGGCUGAGAUACUUACAUGAUGCAAAAGAGGUUAUCAUAAGCCAUGGGGCGGAUCUCAUCUCAGGUAUUAUUCCCUGAUCUCCACUCAACGAAACCUGACGCGUAACAGAAGGAAUCAGAGGACAACAAGGCCAGUGGUGGAUCUGAUGAGAGAUUUUUCGUAUAGCCAUAUACAGAGCGGAUAAUGGAUGAGUCUGAGAAUUUGAGUUUGAACUGACUGGUGCCGCCUCAUCCUCCACCGCUUCCACCAUCUCCAGGAUAUGAAUCAAGAGAGGUUGAGGGAGACAGCAUAACCUAAAAACAGAUCAACAAGUUCCCUCAUCCUCUUUGCUGCUAUUGAGGCUGCAGCUCAGAGGCCUAAUCUCCUUCUUGGUUUUGACAAUUCUUGUGAAGGUUUUAUAUCACUGAAGAGGAAAAUCAAAAUUUUCUCGAGUUUUUAUAAUCUUCUGCUAUAGAUUGGAUAGAGCCUCUUUAGAUCAAACUAAUUAUGAAGGUCGAUAUCAAUAUCUAUUGGUGUCUAUUGGAGAUUCAAAUUUUUAUGUACGGUUACAAUAAUAUGAGUUCAACUUUCAAGUCUAGGAAACUUUGUUUUCGCAAAAAAACUAACAAUUAACUGAUUAGUCGAAGCUAAUAUACUCUUUGAAAGUCUAUGAGAACAUUGAAAAAUAUGCAAAAGCAUAGAUUUUUGUUUCGAUGACAAAGUUAAGAUAUGAACUAAAUUUGGUCGUCCUGAACUGAGCACAAAAUAUUUUCACAUACGUGUUCGAGUUAAGUAAGAGUAAGUUUAAUAUAUUAUUUUAGUUCCUAUUUAAAGUUUAAAAUUUUGACAAAACAACUCAAGGAUAUAGUUCUCUAAAAUCCUUAAAAGAAUAUUAUUUAAAGAUGCAUUAAACAUAUCAAUUCAAUAACUUUUACUAGCUUUAUAUAUAGAUUACAUAUACGUAAAUAUAUAUAAUAUAACAACAUAAGUUUGCUUUCCGCGAUUCAUUUGAAGACUUUUUAAGUUAUCGACCCAAGCAAAUUUUUAUUAAAUCAAUCAAAUUGUUAGAAAAUAACAUGUCUUCUAUAUUAGAACUGGGUAUAAAAUCCGGCUCCAAAUCCGCGAUUCAAAAUACUAGAACUUAAAUUUGGUUAGAUCUAAAAAAAUAGUGCAACAAAUAUUAAAUUGAAAGAGAUUAAAUAACUGAACCCGAUUAGAUAAUACACGAUAUCCAAAAUUAAUCCAUAACAUAUCCGAAAUUAUUUAAAGUGCCAACCUUGAAUAUAUUUAUUUCCUCAAUUUCAGAUAUUAUGUGUCUUUUGUUGAUAUAUUAAGUGUUUUGAUAAUUUGAAAAUAAAUUUAUUUUUGGAUAUUUGUGUUAGUUCGAGCACAAAUAUGUUAGUCCAAUAUAUAUAUAAGCUGAUGGAAAAACAAGAUAUCGAUAUUAUAUAUUUUGAAUAUUUAAUACACAGUUUGGGUAUAUCCAAUAAUAUAUGAAUGUGAAUUUAACCCAAUCUUAA